rnacentral:rRNA from 1 species
GAUGAACGCUGGCGGCGUGCCUAAUACAUGCAAGUCGAGCGAACAGACGAGGAGCUUGCUCCUUUGACGUUAGCGGCGGACGGGUGAGUAACACGUGGGUAACCUACCUAUAAGACUGGGAUAACUUCGGGAAACCGGAGCUAAUACCGGAUAAUAUUUCGAACCGCAUGGUUCGAUAGUGAAAGAUGGCUUUGCUAUCACUUAUAGAUGGACCUGCGCCGUAUUAGCUAGUUGGUAAGGUAACGGCUUACCAAGGCAACGAUACGUAGCCGACCUGAGAGGGUGAUCGGCCACACUGGAACUGAGGCACGGUCCAGACUCCUACGGGAGGCAGCAGUAGGGAAUCUUCCGCAAUGGGCGAAAGCCUGACGGAGCAACGCCGCGUGAGUGAUGAAGGUCUUCGGAUCGUAAAACUCUGUUAUUAGGGAAGAAUAAACGUGUAAGUAACUGUGCACGUCUUGACGGUACCUAAUCAGAAAGCCACGGCUAACUACGUG